CGACGCGCCUGGUGACCAGACGUCCCCGUUUUGGGUGACCUGUCCCCGGUCAAAGCUGUCCCCGAAAAUGUCCCAGAUUUGGACACUGAAUGAGGGAAAUAAGCGCGCAGACACAAAAACCAGUUAUUGCGGUAGCCAUUUAAAGCAUCGCCAGAGAAGACGUCGUAUGACGUACGUAUCAGGACGUACGACCAGAUGCAGCAGCGUCAACGACAAAAAUCUAGAGGCGGCAAAAAGGAAAGAAAAGAAGAUCAGCGGUCAUAAAUGGUAUGUUGUGUAUAUAUUAAUUUAUUUAUUGAAUUUAGGUGGAAGACUGCUUUGGUAACAUAUGAUUUUCCUGUAGGCAUAGGAACAUGACUCGACUCUGUUAAAAAUAAUAAAUGAAUUAAUAAUAAAUCAAUGGUUGAUAGUUCUGUAUUUUGUGUCGGGCUGUGUGGGUAACUAAUGACUGUAGUAGGCCUAGCCUAGUUAUAAAUGCAGACCAUCUGAUUAGCUGAUGCCCUCAGUCAUGUAUAAAUUAAUAUACUAAUAUGUUUUGACUUGGUAAUUAUUAUUAUUUACAUCUUUGAUAUUUACGAUAUUUAUUUAUGAUAAUAUUUCAUGAUUUUUCACGGCGCCGCAUUGAAAAUGUCCCCGAUUUUCAUUUCAGAAAUCUGGUCACCUUAAUGUGGAGUGGAUGACAAGAUCAAGAUGAAAAGAACGAUUGAAAGCUUUUUCGUUAAAAAAGUUAAUAAGUUAAGGCCUGAUCCGAACGAAUGCUCUGACACGGAUCUCCCUUCAACUUCCCAGGUUAUGUCAGGCCCUAAUCAGGAGACGGCAUCGGCUAAUGAGCCGCACACGAUCAACUCCGAGCCACAGCCCGCCGAAAUUAAAAGGAGGAAAGUGUAUGCAUUUAGAAGAGAGUGGCUUGACCAGUUUCCCUGGCUAAGAUACGAUAAAACCGGGAACGAGAUGCACUGCAUUUACUGUAAAGAGUGUGGGAAGACCAUGGCCGGCAAUAGUGCUUUUGCGACUGGUUCCAAUACAUUUCGUAUUGAAACUCUGAAAAAGCACAAUGCAUCCAUGAAACACAUUACAUGCCGCGAUAAAUGCACUGCCACAGUGUCCCCUCUCCCCGCUGCCUUUCAGCGGCAGGAAGUAGCAAACAGAACAUCAGAUGAGGCCGAGAUGAUGAUCAAGUUCAACAUUGCCUACAAUAUUGCAAAAGAAGAACUUCCCUUCACUAAAUUCAAGUCCGAAAUAAUUCUUCACAAGAAAAAUGGCUUGAACGUAAACCCGACCUACAGCAAUGAUGUCAUGUGCGCCCAAUUUAUUGGAGUCAUCGCAGAUACUCUGAAAAAAAAUACAUCGGUGCAAAUUGCGAACAGUGCAUACAUGGCAUUCCUGAUCGACGGAGACACAGACAUCGCCAAAAAGGAAUGCGUCAUUGUGUAUGGUCGUAUCUUGCAGAGAGGAGGACCGGUGAAUAUACUGAUUGGACACAUCGAGGUCCAGCAUGCCCAUGCCCAAGGAAUUUAUGCUGCCUCAAAGAAAGCAUUUGCUGCUCUUGGGGACCAGUGCAGUAACUGGCUGGAGAAAAUUAUUGCUCUGGGUGCUGAUGGUGCUGCUGUUAAUUUGGGCAGCAAAGGGGGUGUCAUAGCCCUUUUGCAGCAAGAGGCAGGUGAUCACAUUGUGCCUUUCCACUGCAUGCCUCACAGAUUGGAAUUGGCAAUGCUGUCAGUGCAGAGGGACAAUCAAAUGAUGGGGCAAUUGUACGACCUUCUACAUUUAAUUUGGAAGACUUACCAUUUCAGCCCAAAAUCAAUGAGAGAGCUCAGGGUCAUUGGGGCUGACUUGGGGGUAAAUGUGCUGAUGCCCAGUGGGGUGAAGGGGACAAGGUGGCUCCCACAUGUUUCAAGGGCCUUGGAGACCUUUCUUAAACCAGGACAGUUCACUGCUGUGUACUACCAUAUGGACCAUUUGGCAAGCUCCUCUACCAAUGCAGACAUUGCAGGCCGAGCUACAAAGGCCAGUGCAUUCUUUCAGGAUGUUCCUUUCAUUAGAGCCACUUGUUAUUGAUGUAUUUUUAGGAAUUUAGUUCAUCAAUGUUCUAUGUGACUAAUUUUUAUUGUUGUAUGGUACAGGUUAAGAAAUCAAUGGAGGAUGCUACCUUUGUGGCCUUUUGCCAUGUUAUUGCAGACAUGUUCAGUGGCAUUAGUAAGUUUAGCCUCCUGCUUCAGAGGAAUGACAUCAUCUUACCACAGGUAAGGGAAAUGUGCAAAUUUGAAUUGUGUUUGUGGUCAUCUUCAGCUGUGUUAAUAAUACUGCACUGAAAUAUCUAAACAGGCAGUUUGUGGCCUUGAAAAACUGCUGGUGACCACAGAGGCAAUGGCUGUGAGACCCAAGCCUGGGGGAAGACUGUCAGAGUUCCUGGCUGACCUGAGGCUGCAGAGGAGGAGGCAGCAAGAAAAGGGUGAAAUGGCAAUCUACAAAUUCCGGACAAUAACACUCAAAGGACAGGCAUCAGAGCUGGCAGGAGAUAGUGUUGGUGGCACUAAACUUGAAAAAGUAAUGGAUGCAACGAUCAUAUCCACUGUAAAACAUCUGAAAGCAAGAUUCAGUAGCCUCCUAGGGGAGAGUGCUUCUGGGUCUGACACAGCCAAGGCUGUCAAAUGUUUCAACAUUUUCAAUCACGAUAGCUGGCCAGAGAACCAAGAAGACUUAGUAGACCAUGGUGCUGAUGACCUUGCAUUUCUCUUGGAUCACUUCUCCACAGUUCUGAGAAGGUAGCUGGUGGAUUACUACAAUAUUAUGUGUGCUGGUGGUGGUAGAUAUUUUGUUCAUGUAGAAUAGAAUAUCUUUAUUGUCAUUCUAACAGGUACAACGAAAUUUCAGUACGUAUAUUUUGGUAUGUGAACACUGAUUAGCUGUGUAGUCCACAUCAUUUUCAGAAAUGGUGUAAACACUGACCUUGCAAAAGAAGAGUUUGUGGGCUUAAAGCUAUUAAUUGCAAGGAUGUUCCAAGACAAGACCUACCUCAGCCUUUGGGAGCUCAUGUUGACCAGAGAGCCCUACUGCUCACAGUACAAGAACAUCCUGCAUCUUGUACACAUUAUGCUGGUCCUCCCUGUCUCAGCUGCAGUUUGUGAAAGAGGAUUCUCUGCACAGAAGAGGAUCAAAUCAGACACUAGGGCAUCCCUCCAUUCAGACACAGUUGAAGAUCUGAUAAGAAUCAGUGUAGAGGGACCAAGUCUGGAAGAUUUUGACGCUAGAGAGAGUGUGGGAAGCUGGUUUAGCCAAGGCCAAAGAUCAAGAAGGCCAAACUUCCUUAGUUGGCCAUCAGAGGGGCAUGUGACUGCAAUUGAGGUCCAUAGUCCAUAAGACCUGGAGCCAUGAGAUGUGUUUGAAGUUUCAGUUUAAAACACUUAAUUUAGAUUUUCUUUUUAUUUCACUUAUCUUCUGAUGUUUUAAAUUUAUAUCGCAGCUCAGUGAAGCUGCAAUAAUUAUUCAAAUAAAGAACUUUAUGUUGACCAGAUUCUUCGUUCAUCAUUUACAAGUCAAUAUUGCCUAUAUGGACAGCUAUUUAAAAAACGUGAACCUGUAAAACUGCAGUGUUGAAUGCGAUAUGGUUGACAAUUUGGGUGCACCUAACUUUUGUGCUGGUGCACCUAAGAAAAAA